AUGGGAGGAGAAUCAUUUUCCUCAGGGCAGGUUAAGCUUUUUGCAGCCGUGCUUCUACUACAACUAUGUUAUGCAGGUUACAAUAUAGCUGCUAAGGUUGCACUCGACAAGGGCAUCGGCCAAUUUGUCUUUCCAGUGUAUAGGAAUGUUAUCGGUUUCUCGUUGCUAGCUCCAUUUGCAUACUUUCUCGAGAAGGAAGACCGACCAUCUUUAUCUCUUUCUUUGCUGUUUCAAUUCUUCCUUCUUGCAUCCUUUGGGAUUACAAUCCCUCAAGUAUGUUUCCUCAUCGGCUUACGCUAUGUGCCCACAACUUAUGCCGCUGCGAUCCAGAAUUUGGGCCCGGCACUCACAUUUGCCAUGGCUGCAGCUCUCGGGCUUGAGCAAGUCCACAUCGCAAAGAGAUACGGGUUAGCAAAGGUGCUCAGCACGGUUACUAGCAUAGGAGGUGCCACUGUCGUCACUCUAUACAAGGGUCAUCCCCUGCUGCCUCACCCUCUUUCGACAAAUGUUUUAGCCACUCCCAUAAUUUCAAACUCUAUACUACACUGGGCACUGGGUUGUGCCUACAUACUUGGAAGUUGCAUUAUAUGGUCUGCCUGGAUGGUGCUUCAGGUUCCAGUGGUGAAGAAGUACCCAGCUAAGCUCUCAUUUAGUGCCUUCAUCUGCUUCUUCGGGUUUCUGCAAUGCCUUGUCGUAGCAUGCAUUUCUGAAACUGACAGCGAGAAGUGGAAAGUGCAUUCAGUAGAACAGCUCUGUGCAAUUCUCUAUUCAGGGCUUGUCAUGUCGGGCGUUGCCAUUGCUCUUCAGAUAUGGUGCAUAGAUAAAGGGGGUCCUCUUUUCACUGCUGUCUUCGGGCCAGUGCAUAUUGUGGCUGUGGCCAUAGUGUCGGUUCUCAUCUUCGACGAUCGAUUAUUCUUGGGAGGGGUUGUUGGAUCAGUUCUCAUAGUGUUUGGGCUGUACUUGGUUUUAUGGGGCAAAAAGGAGGAGAAAGUUUCGAAUCAGGCCAUGAGCCAAGGGCUACAGAGGCACCUCCUCCAAACCGACCCAUGCGAGUAGGAACUCACAAGACAAGCUAUCGACUAUUCAAGUGCGAAGUGAAUCGGGCGGUGUUGAAUCCCGAGUCCCCGAGCACCAGAUAAUAAUUCAAGGGUCGCUCUCCCAGAUAUGGGCGGACACCUAAGCCCAUACAGUGGUCAUGCCUUCGGGGGUGCUCGCGGAUAGCCAUACCCAGAUAUCUACUGGGCAUGAAGUUAAGCAGCUACGUGUGCCAAACGACCAACCAUCUAUUUCCUAGGCGCAGCUGGAGUAGAUGAAUAUUGAAAUGGUGCAACUAAGGGUCGAUCUGGAUAAGAGCGCCGAGCUGCUGGAGACAGAGAAAGGCAAGAGCGCCAAGCAAGCAACACAACUGGCUUAUCUCCAUAAAUAGGCUAACACCUUCGAAGCCAAAAUUCAUUCGGCCAAUACUACAAAAAUCCGGACUAUAUUGAAGAUCUGGAGAUAAAAAAUAAGGAGUUUCGGGUGUUGGCCCAGAAUUUGAAGGAGGCCGAAGUGGCGUUGAAGUCCGAGUGAGAUGGACGAUCAGCCGAGCAGACUGCAGGAAAGGCCCAGCUUAACGCCAAGGAUGAAGAGUUGACCAAGCUGAAGGAAGAGCUGGAGGCCUCCCGAGCGGCCCUAGAGACUUAUAAAGGAGUAGAGUCAAGUAGGUUUGAUCUCAUGAAGCAAGCCUACAUCCGUUCGGAUGCUUUUAACAACAAAGUCACCGAUCGAGCUCUUCGUCUGUUCGACCUGGCGAUUGAAGGGGCAUUCGGCCAACUCAGGGAAGGUGGCUACCUCCCCGCCGCUCUAUCAAGUCAGAUCAUCAGUCAAGACAAGCUGACUGUAUCGCUGCCUGACGAUGUAUUAGAUUAUCUGGAGUGAGCCAGUUGAGAGUGACCUCUGUAAAUUUUGA